rnacentral:rRNA from 1 species
CCCUUAGAUGUUCUGGGCUGCACGCGCGCUACACUGUCGGAUUCAGCGAGUCCUAUCCUUAACCGAAAGGUUUGGGUAAUCUUUUGAAAGUCCGACGUGAUGGGGAUUGAUCAUUGCAAUUAUUGAUCAUGAACGAGGAAUUCCUAGUAAGCGCGAGUCAUCAGCUCGCGUUGAUUACGUCCCUGCCCUUUGUACACACCGCCCGUCGCUACUACCGAUUGAAUGGUUUAGUGAGAUCUUCGGAUUGGCGCCUACGCGGCUUCUCUGAGGCCACGCUGGAUGCCGAAAAGUUGCUCAAACUGUAUCAUUUAGAGGAAGUAAAAGUCGUAACA